ACCUAAAGUUCCUUCUGGUGUGAUCACAUUGGAAUACUUGUGGCAACAAAUCAUAGUUGCACCAUAUUUUAGGUGGCUCUAGGGUGUAGUGUCGUAAAAUCAAUUUACUUUGUAUGCAAAUCAGAAUGUAUAGUUUGCCUUUCCG